AGUCCGCGGCACUUUCACGUUGAUCGCUUCGUCUUUGAUCUGUGCCGUCGGGCAUGAUGCACCCUCCCUCAGAGUUCACGCCGGACACGAUGCUCCAUCUACAUCCACUGGCUUUUAAUCUCCCUCUGGAGCAAGCGUCACCAGCGACCCUCGUAAUGGACGGCCUCCCACUCAUUUGUGCCUUUUACUGUUGUACAGGUAAGCGAUGGAGUUUUUGUGACACAAACUCCUGCACAUACGUCUCCAUACUACUGAAAUUUGAGCUAUAUUUAGUUGUGAAUGGUCAUGUGUAUAUCAGUUGCUGAUUUUGCAAUUAGCGCAGUUUAAUUUAGCUAAUACCUGUACAUGACGAAUGGGUAUGUCGGUCCGAUCUUCAGUUUAGAUAGGCAAGCAGGCAUCGCUGUACGCAAAAAAUAAAAGGCAAGCAAGCAAUGCAUAUAUCAACAACAAGGAAUUGGUCUCUAGCGUUCUGGUGUUCAUUUGACUAUAGACAUAGAUUUACAUUCCGUGGGAAUUAUGCCGUGUGUGUGUGGGCAGUUUAGGGAGUUUGCUGCAAAUGUUGCUCGGUUGGGAAACCUGUGCAGUGAUCCCAAAUGGCACAAGUUGAAUCAGCAUUUCUCGAGGUUGAAGUGUGAACCCACUGUGGUGGAUGGAUGGAUGGAGGGAGGAUAACGACACUUCAGAAAUACUCUAAAGAAGCAGCAGCAUCCAGUAUGUACUAUGUAGGAUCUCAGUUCGUUUGUGGUGGAUGGAUGGAGGGGGGGAGGUGAAGUGGGAUGGAUGGAGGGGGGAGGUGAAGUGAGAUGGAUUGGGCAGUCUACUGUGUUUGAUUUGUUUAGGUGGAAACAUUCUUGACCACUGACUCAUAGCUGAUGCUGAUUUCUGAUCAUCUGGCAAGGAGGUCUCUAUGGCAAGUCCAAGAUGGCGUCAAAGAAGUAAUCUAUUGUGAUGUCCUUUGUUGCAUGUUGUACUCGGUACUUCAGUACUUAUCUUGCACCACAUUAGUUAAUCUCAUUGAGUUUUGAUCUUUAUGUCAUGUUUUCUUGCGCGGAAGGACUAAUGCAAGACAAUCUUGACAUGAUUUGCACCGGACCAACUGUUUUGAUUUAUCACGUUGAUGUCAUGAGCACAGCUCCAGUCAUGCUACUUUCCUUGUGGACAAAACUUUGCUCAGCUAUUGUUUGUAACCAUUUAAUUUGUUGGGUACUUUU